rfam:Sphingomonas sp. SRS2 contig161, whole genome shotgun sequence.
UGUGCGGGCCGGGCCCCUCUGGCGACUGCCAAACGGUCGCGAUGUCGGACCGCAUCG